UACAGAGGGGGCAAGCGUUGUUCGGAAUUACUGGGCGUAAAGGGCGCGUAGGCGGCCAACUAAGUCAGACGUGAAAUCCCUCGGCUUAACCGGGGAACUGCAUCUGAUACUGGAUGGCUUGAGUUCGGGAGAGGGAUGCGGAAUUCCAGGUGUAGCGGUGAAAUGCGUAGAUAUCUGGAGGAACACCGGUGGCGAAGGCGGCAUCCUGGACCGACACUGACGCUGAGGAGCGAAAGCCAGGGGAGCAAACGGG
rnacentral:rRNA from 1 species